AUCUCGGUGGCGUAAUGGUUGCAUGCGUCUGUGGUAUGGAUAAAACGCGGGUUCGAUUCCCGUCUGAGGUC